CCUACGGGAGGCAGCAGUGGGGAAUAUUGGGCAAUGGGCGCAAGCCUGACCCAGCGACGCCGCGUGAGGGAAGACGGUCUUCGGAUUGUAAACCUCUUUCAGCAGGGAAGACAAAAGGACGGUACCCGAAGAAAAAGCAUCGGCUAACUCCGUGCCAGCAGCCGCGGUAAUACGGAGGAUGCGAGCGUUAUCCGGAUUUAUUGGGUUUAAAGGGUGCGCAGGCGGGAGAUCAAGUCAGCGGUAAAAUGUCGGGGCUCAACCCCGGCCGGCCGUUGAAACUGGUUUUCUAGAGUUGGAGAGAAGUAUGCGGAAUUCGUGGUGUAGCGGUGAAAUGCAUAGAUAUCACGAAGAACUCCGAUUGCGAAGGCAGCAUACCGGCUCCAUACUGACGCUGAGGCACGAAAGCGUGGGGAUCGAACAGGAUUAGAUACCCCGGUAGUC
rnacentral:rRNA from 1 species